UCAAAAAUCUGAUUCAUCGCUAUUUCUCUGCGAAAGAAAAACCACAAAUCGACGAGCCUGAAGAAGAAUCUCCUCCUCCAGAAGAGAUACAGCACAAACUAAUGGAGGUCACAAAAACAUUACAGAGCCUGCAAAAUGUGGUCAAGCGGUUUCGUCAUCAGACCCCAACGGAAAAGAGAGACAACCAAGAAACAGAAGCUAAGUAAAGGAUGAGGCAGUGCUUUCAGUGGAACAAGAGUCGUAAACAGAGCAUUGUAUCUCGACCAAGUCACCUCAAAGUGAAAGAAUAAGGGGAAAAAUAGGAAUUUUUCUUGCCUGAUAAAGUAAUUUUUCUAGAAAAUCAACGAAUUUACUCAGGAGCCAAAAGUAUAGUUGGCACAUCAUGAUGAGUAUACUAAAAAUUAAUUAAUAACAUGCAUGAGUGUGGUAUUUUGCAUUAGAAGUCAAAGGUAUAUACAUUGUAUAUACAUCGUCAAGUGCCCAUUCUUUCAUAAUUGUUACACGGCCCAGCUUCAUGAAUGAUUUCUCAUUCUGAAUUUUUUUCCUGAACUCUAGUUUUCGGAUCUAUCAAUUUUAGAAGCUAAAAGGGUCCGUAUAAUUUUAUCACCAACUGUUGAAUAACCAUUACAACGUGAUUACAAUCCUAGUCCUGGCCGAAAGUUCUCGGGACACGUGGUAAAGUAUCACCCAAUGAAACAUACCGUGAACUGCCGCUUUUAAGCUCUGGGCUUAUACAACUUUGUAAGGGGUUUUGAAUGAGCUUAUAUCCGGGGGGUCUUAUAAGCGGCAUAAAAACAAACGUUGCGAAAUGAGCUACAGCAGUGUUGAUCUAAGUAAUUUUUUUCAUCUAAUGAUUUUCAAUCAAGCUAUAAAACAUCUUAUGUCGCACCUCUAUUAAGCGGCCCCCUAUUAAGCGAAAACUUGUCACCUAUACACUGUAAUAAAAACCUCUGUUCAACGGCCAGCUUUUUGCCGUCCCAA